CCGAAAGGGUGUGUAUAGCUUUUGAAUCCUGGCCAGCAACGGUACCUAAAACCUGGGUUCAACUGGGCUAAGGGCCGUUUAGCGCCGGGAGUAACUCUGACUCUCUUAAGGUAGCCAAAUGCCUUGUCGGGUAAGUUCCGACGUGCAUGAAUGGAACAACGAGGGCCCUACUGUCCCCGUCUACUACCCGGCGAACCCACGUAACGUGGACGAACAGUCCACGAACUUCUAUCGGGAAGAGAAGACCCUGUGGAGCUUUACUGCAGCUUGUUGUUGUGAUACGACUAUGAUUGCAGAGUGUAGCUGGGAGCUGUUAUGCACAUACUUUUGGGUAUGUGAUAGGCGAAAGUGUAACACCAGCCUCUCAUAGUUUUAUCGCUAACCGGGAAACCGGGACACCGGCAGGUGGGCAGUUUGGCUGGGGCGGCACCCCCUUGAAAAAAUAUCGAGGGGGCCCAAAGGUCGGCUCAGGUGGGACAGAAAUCCACCGUAGAGGGCAAGGCUAAAAGCCGGCCUGACUGGGUUCUCAAAAGC
rnacentral:rRNA from 1 species